rnacentral:rRNA from 1 species
GUGUCAGCCGCCGCGGUAAUACGUAGGUCCCGAGCGUUGUUCGGAUUCACUGGGUGUAAAGGGCGCGUAGGUGGUUGUCUGUGUCUCAUGUGAAAACUCAGGGCUCAACUCUGAGAUUGCGUGGGAAACUAGGCAGCUAGAGGACGGUAGAGGGGAGUGGAAUUCCCGGUGUAGCGGUAAAAUGCGUAGAUACCGGGAGGAACACCAGUGGCGAAGGCGGUUCUCUGGCCUGUAACUGACGCUGAGGCGCGAGAGCUGGGGGAGCGAACAGGAUUAGAUACCCUGGUAGUCCUAGCCGUAAACGAUGGGUGCUAGGUGUUGGGGGGUAAAGACCCUUCAGUGCCGAAGCUAACGCGAUAAGCAUCCCACCUGGGGAGUACGGCCGCAAGGUUGAAACUUAAAUGAAUUGGCGG